rnacentral:rRNA from 1 species
UACAGAGGUCCCGAGCGUUGUUCGGAUUCACUGGGCGUAAAGGGUGCGUAGGUGGCUUUGCAAGUCUGAUGUGAAAUCUCCGGGCUUAACCCGGAAAUGGCAUUAGAAACUGUGAGGCUUGAGGCUUGGAGGGGGAACUGGAAUCCUCGGUGUAGCAGUGAAAUGCGUAGAGAUCGAGAGGAACACCAGUGGCGAAGGCGAGUUCCUGGACAAGUCCUGACACUGAGGCACGAAAGCCGGGGGAGCAAACAGG